UUAAAUCUGCUCAAUGAAUUUUUAAAUAGCCGCAAUAUUUUGAUUGUGCAAAGGUAGCAUAAUAAAUUGGUUUUUUAUUGAAAUCUUGUAUGAAUGAUUUGAUGAGAUAAUAACUGUCUUAAUUUAAUUAAAAGUUGAAUUUUUUUUUUUUGUUAAAAAACAAAAAUUUAUUUAAAAGACGAUAAGACCCUAUAGAAUUUUAUAGAUCAUUAUUAUUAAUUAAAUUUAUUUUUACUAAUAAAGUUUUUAUUUGGUUGGGGAAAUUUAAAAAUUUAAAAAAUUUUUUAAAAUUUUUUUUCAUUUAUACAUGAUUUUAAAAGUUAAUUUUAUUUUUUUUAAAAAAAAUUACCUUAGGGAUAACAGCGUAAUAUUAUUUGGAUAGAUCAUAUUGAUAAAUAAGAUUGCGACCUCGAUGUUGAAUUAAGAUAAAUUAUUAUUGUAGAGAAUAAAAAAUUCAGUCUGUUCGACU
rnacentral:rRNA from 1 species